AAACUAAAACACGAGAGCAACCCACAGAAUUACUUCUUGCAGUACCUACCUCACCCUCGCCAUCCUCGUCGCAUCCACACGAGGCGACGAAAACCUUUCCAUCACAGCCUAUAACUCCUCUAGUCUUAUGACUUCUCGACGGGGCUCCUCCUAAAAGGCGUAACCCACUAUGAUCUCGAUAAAGUCACUGAAAAAUUCAUUACAUAUUUUAAAGGUUCCUCUGUUUCUCUCUUAGAGGCUCAUACUAGCUAAAGUACAAUUCCAAGAUCGAUGUGUACAUCUUCGAAGGUAAGCUGACCAGCCUUUCUGAGGUUAGUGUUAAAUUGUUUUUCCUUUGGUUUAACAUCGUUGACGUUGUGAGAAAUGGGGAUAAUCUUGAAUUUUCUAUUGGAAUUGCAUCUGCAGAUUUUCGAUUGAUAAUUUUUAUGGGUGCCGGCGAUGUGUAUGUAGAUGUGGAUUGAUUUGCGAAGGUGUUUAUAAGAAUGUGCCAAAAGGGAUUUUAGAAUUAAUCCAUAUGCUUUUCCAAUCUAGCAUAUAUGCAGAAGUCAAUUAGAUUUAUGGGUUUUGAAAAUAUCAAUUAUUCCCUUAAAUAAUUGCACAUACAAGCUGAAAUUUAAUUAUUUUACUGGUUUUAAGUCAUGUAGUGACAAUUAAAUGUUGAUAAUUCUCAUCUAGUUAAUUUAGAAUUUUGGGCAACCCUUGAAAAGGUAGAUUACCUUUUCUUGUAUGUUUCUUCUUUUUAAUGGCAAGUUGCCAUUCGACUCAUUCAUCAUCUGUUAGGUAAUAUCCAAACUUUCUGUUCCAGUUACAAGUGGGAAUAUUCUCACUGUUGAGGAUCUUCAGCAAGAGCUAAAAUGCAGCAUCAAUAUCAAGCCAUAGGUUUUUGUCCUGCCACUGCACUAUUCUUGAUGUUUGCUUAAUGCCUUAAUCAUUAUGGUGGCUUUAAUGUUGAUUUUCACUAUUGAUACAGUUACAAAUCCAUGCCAAUAAAAGGAAAAAAUUAUGUGUUCAAUCAUCGUGUUUAAAUGUAACAUGAGUUUUUUUCUUAAUCUUUGUAGUGGAGCAAAAGGAAAUUAUUUGUGACAGGAAAAAUUUAUGUGUUCAAUCAUUGUGUUUAGAUGUAAACGAGAUUUUUCUUCAUUUAGGUUUGCUUAUUGUCCUUCUCUUCAUUCCAACAUAGUUUUUACGGAUUGCAAUACAUCAAUUAAACAUAUGAAUAUGUAAGUACUAACAAUUUCCUUGAACAACAGAUUUUGGCUAGUGAAAAGUCCUUUGAUUUUGACGUGGAAAUAAUUGUAAAUAUUAUAUGCAGGUGAAGAGAAUGAGGGAAGAAUGUAGAAAACUGGAGGUUGAGAAGAAAAUUAAGGAGGUUGGUGGGGCUAUUUUACUCACUACAUAAGGUUUUUAGUAUUUUUUUUUCUUUUUUUGGGAAAUGUAUUGAUUUUUUAGGUGUUUCAGAAUUUUGGAUCUGAAUUUUGUUUGGAUAUUAUUAUAUUUUGGAGUUCAAUUUAUUAUAAUUAUUGGAUUAGUUUGAUAUUGUUAUCUUUG
rnacentral:lncRNA from 1 species